rnacentral:rRNA from 1 species
AUGUUGGAGGUUAGAACAAGCACCGGAACAACUCAAGAAUCCGUGGAAACAAAAGUAGGCAAGGGAUUUACCGGAGGUGCAGGUCGCGGGAGCAAGGCUGCAGCACGGCGGCGGUUAUCAUGCCAGCGACCUGAAGAGUGGAGGAAUAAGCAUGGGAUUGGGACGGGUUCGCGGAAGGAACGACAUCGGCGACCAAGACGAUGUCGCCCCCGACCAGUAGAUAGAAGGAUAGGUCAGCGACAGUGGGGCCUGAAGAGACGGCAGCAACGUCCGGCGAGGCGGCGGCGGAUCAGGCGGCGGAUCGGCGAGGCAGCGGCAGAUCUGGGAGGCGCGGUGUGGCUGCGCAGGAGGUGCUCUGCAUGGCAGAGGAAGGAGAGGUGGAGCUGCUGUGCUGCGCGGCAGGAGGAGGAAGCUGAGGAGUGGCUUGGUCUCCUCGUGAGUGGGCUGUGCUGCGGCUACUGCUUGCUCCUCAGCUUGGUGGGCUGUGGUGCUGCGGGAGGAGACCGGGAGCUGCUUGUUAUGCUGCUGUACGUGUGUGUGCAGGGGACCGCGAGCUGGAGAGCUGCUGCGGGGGUUGGCUGCUGUUGGAGGCCAAGAUCCUCUGGAAUUGCUGUUGUUCGCAGAGGAAGGAGGAAGAGGCUGUUGUUGCUGCUUGCACUUGCGUGUUGUUGUGUGCUGCUGCUAGCCAGGGGGUGUGAGCUGCUGCUAAUUGCUGAAGGUGAAGGAGGCAACGCUGCUCCUGUUGUUGCUGGGUGCUGCUGCCAGCCAGGGGGAGAAAAGGGGCCCGUGACUGAGAUGAGAGGGAGAAAGAGGCAGCGACUGGAGGAUAAUCGAGCGGGCCAUGGUCUGAAAACAAGCCCGUUUCGCGACCGAGCCGAGCCGAGUUUCGGCCGGUCCAGCUCGGUGACUCGCUUGCGGCCCAGCCCAAUUUCGCAGUCCAUCGCAAUAGCUAGCGCAUUAGGGCACGAGCAACACACAGCCAGGCUCUCGUCUCUCCCUUUCUCUGCGAUGCGCCGCCUCAUCCCUCUCUCGCCAAGCCGCAAAUCUAGAUCGUCGGCGACGAGCGACGCCGCGUUUCCUCGCCACACCGACAGCACGGACUGGGCACCGACGACAAUGGACAAGGAAAAGGGGAGGGCGAGUGGGAAGGAGAACGAGAAAGAGAGGACGUUGGACUCCAUUAUGAAGAGCAAGUUGCCGGUCUCGGGGAUGCAGAAGGGGAAUGGGAAGGGCAAUGUAGCAGCUACUACGCGGCUGCCGACGGAGCUGGCAAAUUAUUCCAACAAUGUCCAAAUCGCUGAGUUGUUGUAUAGGAAUCGCCGUUGCCUCCGGCUCGCAAACUACUAUGAGAGGGAGGUUACAUCUUCCCAGGCAAUGGAGCAUGAUAGCAAGCGGAGGAGGAUCAUGAAGAGGUGGAAGAGGAGGAGGACCAGGACGAGGAAGAGCAAGAUACUUUGUUUGAGGUGCCGCCUGGGGUUGUCUACUUGUUACUUUGGAUGUGACUAUAGGAGUUCUUUGAAACCAGAAAUGGUGGAAGCCUUGGUGUGCGGUGCUAGUUAUAUCAAAGACAUUCGUGAUGAGGGUGUUGCUCUUGCUGUUUUGAAGAUGGAUGUCUACAUGAUCUUGUCACGUGGAUUGUUGAGUCAAUGUUUGGCUGUCAACAUUUUCUCAUUUUUUUAUGUCAAAGUGGAAUUGGAGAGCCUCAAGAGGAAGGUGGAGGAAAUCCAGGCUGGCAAGAAAAUAGUCGAGGGGGUGACACGUGAGAAGGAUGCUCAGACCGUUAAGUUGAGGGAUGAGUUGGAGGAGCUCCAUGCUUUCAUAUCACGCAUGAAGUUUGGAGGAGGUAGAGGCAGAGGAGUAGAUGAUGCUGCCUAUGGAGAUUGUGCUCAUUGGACCUCCACUGAUGAAGAUAAUCCAGAAAAGGCAUCUCUUGCCACUAAUGAGAAUGGUCCAGAAUGGGUUCUAGACUCUAGAGCAUCUAACCAUGUUGCGAGUAAAUCCGGUGUGUUUGAGUCUUACAAUAAGCAUCCUCCUACUCACAAGGGCACUAUAAAAACUGCCGAUGGUACAAAGCAGCCUGUCAUAGGGGUUGGCACAAUACAAUGUACUUCGAGCAUUUCCCUAUCCUCAGUUUUACAUGUGCCAGCUUUUCCUGUCAACUUGGUCUCGAUGAGUGCUCUCAUUGAUCAAAUAGACUGUCGUGUGAUUCUUGACAAGUUUGGUUGCUUGAUUGAAGAGCGAAAGACGAGGCAGACGGUUGGGACCGGCACCAGGCGUAGGGGGCUCUGGUAUAUGGACCAGGAGGUGCAGCCGGACUCGGUGUGUGUUGUGACCAUGGAGGACAAGGAGAAGCAGGCGAUGAUUCAUCACUGUAGGAUGGGGCAUGAUGGAGUGGCAGAAAGGAAGAAUCGACAUAUCCUUGAGGUUGCUCGGUCAUUGAUGUUUACCAUGAAUGUGCCCAAGUUCUUGUGGAGUGAAGUAGUUAUGACAGCCACAUACCUGAUCAACCGGACACCUUCUAGGAUACUCGGCAUGAAAUCUCUGUGUGAGUUGCUGCUUGGAGAAAAUAAGUCUGUAGUUCACCCAAAGUUGUUCGGCAGUACCUGCUUUGUUCGUGAUCACCGACCUUCUAUUGGGAAGCUAGAUCCGCGGGCAGUGGAGUGUGUUUUCUUUGUCUGUGCUUCUAGUCAACAGGGGGAAUCUGAGACAUUCUAUGGUGAGCCAACAGACAUGAGUCUGUUGUUUGCAGAGCUUGACCACCUACACCCUGUGGAAGAUGGUCAAGAGGGGGAGCAGGCCACUCAUGGUGAUUCUGAGGCUGGUGCUCUCACUGAUGAUGAUGUGCGGGUUCAAGUCCAGCCAACGAUGACGAUUGGUACUCUUCAGGGGGAGCAGCAAGGUAGUGAUGCAAGCUCAUUUGACACAGUGGAACUGCCUAUUGCGUUGCAAAAGGGGACACGUGAAGCGGCAAGGAAGGGUGAACUGGCAAGGAAGGCUCUACCACAGGAUUGUUUUGACGAUCAUGACAUUGGCAAUUUUGUGUCCUAUGAGGCUUUGUCUCCUUCCUAUAGAGCAUUUGUUGCCUCUCUACAAACUGUGUCGGUCCCAAAGGAUUGGAAGACUGCAAAGCAAGAUCUGAAGUGGCGUGAAGCAAUGAAGAGUUGGAAGCACUAA